rnacentral:rRNA from 1 species
GAGUUUGAUUCUGGCUCAGAUUGAACGCUGGCGGCAUGCUUUACACAUGCAAGUCGAACGGCAGCACGGAAGAGCUUGCUCUUUUGGUGGCGAGUGGCGAACGGGUGAGUAACGCAUCGGAACGUACCGAGUAGUGGGGGAUAACUGUCCGAAAGGAUGGCUAAUACCGCAUAUUCUCUGAGGAGGAAAGCAGGGGACCUUCGGGCCUUGCGCUAUUUGAGCGGCCGAUGUCUGAUUAGCUAGUUGGUGGGGUAAAGGCCUACCAAGGCGACGAUCAGUAGCGGGUCUGAGAGGAUGAUCCGCCACACUGGGACUGAGACACGGCCCAGACUCCUACGGGAGGCAGCAGUGGGGAAUUUUGGACAAUGGGGGGAACCCUGAUCCAGCCAUGCCGCGUGUCUGAAGAAGGCCUUCGGGUUGUAAAGGACUUUUGUCAGGGAAGAAAAGCUUGAGGUUAAU